GUCUACAGCCAUACCACCCUGAACGUGCCCGAUCGCGUCUGAUCUCGGAAGCUAAGCAGGGUCGGGCCUGGUUAGUACUUGGAUAGGAGAACAGUACUCA
rnacentral:rRNA from 1 species